CCUUUGCAAGGUCUUUGAUAUGAAAUAACCGGUCAAGAGCUUUUGUGGUUAAAAAAGUUUUCCAACAUGAUUUCUCAAGCCUUAAAUAAAGUUAUCGGUAGAAAGUAUAUUGAAAUAUCACGAUCUUGGCUGUCGACAGGGACUGUAUGGGGCACUGCAGGUGUUAUAGGAUUGGUGUAUUACACAAAUUGGAAACUGAUUCUUGGAAAAUUACCAUAUAUCAAAGGCCAAUUCAAGACAGAAGAAUAAAUACAGUAUGUUAGAAUUAUAAAAGAGAAUGAUACCCACUGAAAUGAAGAUGAAUUUCUAAUUGAUCCUGUUUGAUGGUGGAAUGCAUAUUAUUUUACGAGAAUGAAGCAAUACAUAGAACUAAUAAUUAAACCUAAAUAUUGCCUAUGUUUGAUUACAUCUAAUCUUCAUAAAAUAUUUAUUGUUUGCCUUUGAUGUUCAAGUAAAUGAGAGCUGCAUGUCAUUAAAAAUAAAUUUAUUGAGUGAUAACCAAAAUCUAUGAUUGUGAAUCUAGUCAUCUCGUUUAUUUAAGGAAAUGUAAUAAAAAUACAUUUCUCAUUAGAAAUUAAAAUAUUCAAUAAAAUACAGAUUAAAACAACUAAGUUUUCAAUUAUACACAAGAUUUAGCUAGUUAAUACAGUAUAAGGUUGUAUGCAAAGGAAAUCAGGAAUUGUAUUAUCUAUACAUCGCUUAAUAAUAUAACAAUGUACUUCAGAAAAUACAGUACAGUCUCAAUGUGCCAUAAAUUGCAAAUCAAUUAUUUUAUGUAUAUCACCAAGGAUAUGCCAAUGACUUUACUAAGUGGCAAUCCUGCAAAAGAUAAAUACUGUACAGUACUAACAAGAUGCUCUACAAAGUCUGAUAUGAGUGGAGUUGUUUUUAGUCACUAGAUAAAACCCUGUUACAGUGCCAGGAAUUGAGCGAAGGACCCUGGGAUUAGGAGGCAAGCAUCUUUACCACCAAGCUACUACAGCAUACAGUUUCACCCCAAAGUUACUUCAUUACCAUCAGGUCAAGCAGGGAUUGUACUGUACUGUACUACUAUCUAGAUCACAGGAAGUUGUCAAUACCAAUUUAUGGCAAAAGGUGCAAUACUGUACUCUAUAAAUGUCAGUUAUAAAUACAAAUAGAAUUUGAAGAAGCUCUUUUAAAAAAAUUGUUACAUCUUAAGAAGCACAAGGUUAUAUGAGACAAUCUUCAGUUGUUGUUCCUGCUAACUGUAUUCAUAAUUACAAAACUGAAAUGUAAUGCCAUCUUCAUAAUUUUAUUGUCAUUGCUUGCAAAAUAGAGAGGAAAAUAAUAAUUAUUCUCCGGGCA